UUUUCUUACAUUUUUAUUGCAAGUUUGAAAAAAAAAAACAAAACAAUGAAUUUAUCUGACAAAAAAAGAUCUGUUAAACUUUCCACUAAUACUAAAUUAUAACAUCAUCAUCAUAAUAAUAAUAAUACACAGAAGUGCAGCCUUCCUCAUCCUUCCCUCAUCGUUUUUGUAUUGGUUUGGUUUACACUACGAUGUUAUUCCAGAACGCUACUGAAGAGAGUACAUUUCUACAUGCAGGGUUAAUCUGUAAAAAAGAUACACUUUCUUAAUAUUUUAAUACGUAUCAGAAUAAUGCUUUCUGUAAUAUCAAAAGAUAGACUCUCGUAGUAUUAAGUGAGAUAAAGCCCCCUUCAGAUCAGGGUCGGCUCCUGGUUUUCAGUUCCAGUUCCCUGGGAAGGAAUUGAGUAAAAGGGAAUGGAGGAGACCCUGCGACGAUCUCAUUCCCAGACACAGAGGGAGCGAGGCGGGUCCCAGCGUGCCGGUGGGCUGGGGGUGGAAGCCCUCGCACGUGCAAUCAAAGACACACACAGACAGACAGACACACAGACAUGCUGCUGUGCACGGGAGCCCGUGAUUACAAUAAACACAGUUUUAAUACCUCAGGGGGAGGGGAGCGUGCGUUGGGAAUCUAGAGACACGAGCAGUGGGCUUGGGGCACUGCCAGCAGUACAACCCAUCGAGGAGACAGUGAGUGAGGGAAGGAGCAGAGACACACUGGCAGCACGCACACAGGGAGACAGGUAUGCACGCAGGGAGACAGGUACACACACGGGUACAUGGGCAGACAGGUACGCCUGCAGGGAGAUACACUGGCAUCACGCACACACAGGCAGACAGGUACACACACAGGUACAUGGGCAGACAGGUACGCACGCAGGGAGAUACACUGGCAUCACGCACACACAGGUACACG